UACGUAGGGUGCGAGCGUUGUCCGGAAUUAUUGGGCGUAAAGAGCUUGUAGGCGGUCUGCCGCGUCUGCUGUGAAAAUCCGGGGCUCAACCCCGGACUUGCAGUGGGUACGGGCAGACUAGAGUGUGGUAGGGGAGACUGGAAUUCCUGGUGUAGCGGUGAAAUGCGCAGAUAUCAGGAGGAACACCGAUGGCGAAGGCAGGUCUCUGGGCCACUACUGACGCUGAGAAGCGAAAGCAUGGGGAGCGAACAGG
rnacentral:rRNA from 1 species